rnacentral:lncRNA from 1 species
CAUAAUAACUGGCACUUGUCUAGCAUUUUUUUCAUUUUUCCGAUUCCAUUCAAGAUUGAAAACUGGAUGAAAAGCUGGGAUUUAAUAAUACGCAGACGGGAACCAAUUUACUGUUCCCCCAAAUGAGUUUUCGCGUUCCACGUCCGACCCCGACUUGUUUCCCCCUUUAGCUGUUUCAAAUAGGGCAAAGGAAAACGAGGCAAUUUACUAGAUGUGUCAAUGCCGCAUGUUUUGAAGGUUGCCACAAACUCUUGAAAACAAAAGUAAUGAAAUCCUGCACAGAGCAAAAACACAUUUCCUAAAGCUCGUUUGUCGUGACACAUCAACGCAGUUCACGUAUUAAAAAUAAUAGUAAUAAAAACGCCGUGGAGAUGAAGCAAUGACAACCCAGUUGGCGCCAUUAUCGAUCCAAACUUUUGACAGCACACCAAUUCUUGAUACACACGUACAUAUAUUCGAAAGAAGCUACCAGCGAAAAAGAUACGAGGUGGUUGUAGCAACUGUAUCACCCGUAGUGGAUGUGUGUGGUGAUCCGGCUGAAGGGUGGAGUCCCUAUCGAUUUUUCCCAGCACACAUCGUCAUGGCGGUUGCACACAGGGACUCAUCGAAUGGCCUUGUAUAAAAGACGUCUUCUCUUCCUUUUUUUUUCCCGCGUAUAUCUCGAUCGCCUCCAUCAAUAAUUCAAGUGCAUUCACAGCUGUUGGCAUAUGGUGAAACCUAAACGACUUACGUAUAGUAUAUACUACACAACUUUUGCCGAUUGAGGAUUCCUCCCUCCCCCCCUAUACAUAUAUCUACGUGAAAUGUAUAGAGCUUCACAUAUCCAUGUAUCCACUACGCUGUGCAAUGCACAACAAAAAAAAAUGCAUAGCAAGUAAAGGUCAUGUCAUGUUGUGUGGAUGGUCGUCACCACGGGAGGACUCCUUUUGUGUGUCCCUUUUUGACUGACGCCAGUGAUUAUGCACGUCGCCUUGGCAACCGAGAACACGCGCUAUCAAGUCAAUAACACAUUGGGGCGACGUCUGCUGUUGGCGACAGCAGUUUGUAUAGAACCAGGCGUCUUACAUUAUAAAUUAGAUUUGGUUUCUUUCGUGAAGACCAUCGUGUUUGUUUAACUCCCACUGGUUUACACGACUGCACGUUAAAUAUGCAUAAGACGUCAGUAUUUAUUAUUUUUUUUUGCAAGCGAUGGAAAAUCUUUUUUCGCUGAACGUAGAACGUACAUUGUUGUGCGAUGAUAGCCUGUUUUUUACUCUUUGAACUAAAAAUUGAGAAUUGUUAUUCAUCCAGUGCACGUAUAAACAGUGCAUAGGGGAUGACUUUCGAUUGAGGCUGAUGUGUACAGAGGACGACCAUUAUCGCUACAUAGGAUCCGGGAGCUAUUACAUCAGAGAGGCAGCGUCUCUCACGGUUCACGGACGGCUGGAUUCGAUAAGGAUACGGCAGCACUUAUUGCAACAUGGCCAUUUGCUACUAUAUAUUAUGGCCACAAAAAGAGACAUCUGAAAUUGACUAUUACGCCAUCUAAAGGCUAUCACAAAGGACUCGUAGUCGGUUCUUUGACCCUCUCGGACGAUAUUUUCAGCGGUGAUCUAACAGGCACAAACUGAUAAAUCCAUGAUGCAUGUGUGCGCUCUAGAAAAUCUACAUGUCGGCAAUGAAGGAGAAGAUAGCCAAGUGCCAGAGGAUAUUCGAAAUUUCGCCUCGGCGAUCUUGUUGUGGAUUACACGUGGGAUUACAUGGCCACAACGAAAGGACGAACCCGUGCGCUGCGCAAAGCAGCCGAUUUUAAUUACAAAAAUAGGAGACGAUUACAAGUAUACGCCAUCUCAGUUCCUCUUAAAUUCCCUAUAUUUAUUUCAUUUCAUUUGCAAACUCUUAUAUAUCUACACUAGCAUUUUAGAGUUCAUUUGCUAUACACUGUGCGUAUACACUUAGCCAUGCGCUCUGAUAUGCGCAUUUUAUUUGCACAGAUGUCGACUCCUAUCGCCUCUCGGUGAGCCUGUCGACUGGACUUUACCGUAUUGUACUUUACACAGGAAACUGUUUCAAUAUACAAGCACUCUGCACUGCUCGAUGGGCCAAGGCAUACAUAAUAUAUUUCUCCUUUAAGUUCUAGUAUAUAGCCGCGAGAGCCAAAAGUUGAAAAACACCCGUCUGUAUCCGCCGUGCGGAUGCUGCUGGCUUCCAUCUAUUCCCACCUAAUCGAUAUAUCCUUAAGGGUCCUCUUUGCUGGCCUUGGUCUUAUUCGCUCGUGUGUCGCCCGCGAUUCCUUCUCCUCCUUUCUUGUCUUUAUUCCAUCUCGUCCUCUUUACAGCCUCCUUUCGCUGUGACGCAUCCUGGUCUCUCACAGUUUCCAGUCAAGCAGAGCUUAAGCGCGAAAACCUACAGACGAGGUAUAUAUAUUGCUAUAUAAUACGCGCUGUGUAUCCAGAAUAUAAAAGCGGGACAAUAAAAUGGCGAAA